AUAUUUGGUGUCUAAUCUUUUUUCUUCUUUUCUUUUCUUUUCUUUUCUUAUUUUCCCUCCCAA
rnacentral:ribozyme from 1 species